GAUGAUGCAACCAAUGCACUGCACGCCAGCUAAGAUGGGGGCGGGGGCUAGGAUUGAUUGGCAGAGCGGACUCCUAUGGUUGGGGACGAUAUUCCUUGGGUCUCCGGUGCUGAGGGGAGGAGCCAAGCGGCCUGGGUGCGCUGGAAGUGGCCUCCAUGACCUUCGAGGGCCAAGAGAGGAGCUAGGAGGCCGGCGGGAGUCCCGGAGGACCGGCCUUCCAGUCUCCAUGAAGAAGGCGUUCUCGCUGCCAGGCCCGACAGCGUUCGCGUACCUGACCGCGGCUGGCAGCCAAAUCCCCGGCGUCUGCGCUCGGGAACGAGAGUCCUUGGCCAGGACGUGCAGCUCUGGAGCCCUCGCGGGCGACCUUGACCAUCCAGAGGAGGCCUGGCCUUCAAGGUCCUUCAGGAUCUGGGCACAGCGUCCCUCUCCAGCUUUCCUCCCACGCACGCACUCAACCAGAUCCCGCUGUCAGCAGCUGGCUGGUACCCCAACUGCCUGUUCUUUUAGUCGGGCUGUACCUCCCCACCUCCCGUCUUCACCUGGUAAUCUUCAAGACCCAAAGUAAAUGCCUCCUUCAUAAAGACUUUCCUUAAUCCUCAUUCUGGUCAAAAUCCGUCUCUCAUUUCCUGUGCUUCUGUACCUUGUUGACAAUAUUACCAUUUCAGAAAAUGCCCUAGUUAAGAACCUAGCUCUAGAGCCAGACCACAUAGGUUUAGAUUCUGACUCUGUCAUUUACUGACUUGGGCAGGUUUAGGCAAGUUACUUAACCUCUCUGUUCCUGCUCUGUAAAGUGGAGAUAAUAGUAUUGUCCUCAGGGUUGUUGUGGGAAUUAUAUGAGUUAAUACAUAUAAAGUGUUUGGCUGCAUAUAGGAAGUACUCCCUAAAUGUUAGCUAUUGUUGUCAUUGCACAUCUGCCACACCCCGUGUAGAUGGUAAGCUUCUUUGGGCUAGAGAUCAUACUCUAUAUAGUAUCCUCCAGUUUUUUGCACUUAGUAAGUGUUCAAUAAAUGGUGGAAGGAAGAAUCCAUUCCCUUGGUAUUACAGAAGAAAACAAUACCUCAGCCUCUGUUCACUGGAUAAUACGACAAAUCUCAAAAUGAAUUUUCCAUUCAAAGUAAUGAACACAAGCCAAGAAAUCUCUGUGCAACACCAGCCAACCUUUGUAUCGCCUGCUUUUUUCCAGAAGCUUUGCCUCUGCUUUUAAAGGUAAACUGCCCAUAGUGUUUCAUUAACAAUGCUUCCCUCUAAGAUUCCAAGUUCAACACCAAAGGUGAAAUGACAAUGAACUUUUAGUGGUGCCAAAAGCAGAGGCAAAGGGCAACUGCCAAGACCGGUGUCCUAUAGCCGAACCUCCGCAGAGUUUGAAAAGCAUGAGUUUCACAGCAUUGGCCAACAAUAUCAUGGCCAUUUCUUACGUCAUUCCCUGGAGAAAAAAAACAACCCAUGGCCACCUAAACAUCAACUUAGCUAAGUCCAAAUAAAUAUUUAUUGGCAAUCUAAGCAGCUCCAUAACCAAGUCAACGCUUAUAGGGGCAAAGAAAGUGGCAUAUGCAGUUUUUCUUCAGGUCUUCAUAAUAUCUGUUCCAAAUUUUGGAAAGGAGCAAACAGUUAACUGGUGUAGCAAAGAGGGGAACUACAUAUUAUGUGGGAUCCAAGUCUCAAACUUUUUCCUUGGCCAUCUUAGGUUCUUUUAGGUUAUGUUCAGUAUCCUCUGUCUUGAGUCCUGCAGGCUACCCCUCUACUCAAAAUGCCAAUCUUGAAAGAAACAAAAUGCUUUCCAGGCCAUUGCUAAUUUUAACACUUUGACUUGGAAUUGAGCAACACUGCCUCCCUGCUGAAUGGAUAGAUCAAGCAAAAGACUCUAGAGGCGAACAUUGCCCAGACAAGCAGGCAGCCAGGUAAAGUGAGUGUCCAGGGAGAAGGCAAUAGGGUCAAAAGAAAGAAGGACUAGUAUUCUUCCUGCCUUAUGAGUUUGCUAUGACAUCUAUUCAAGCAUCCUCACUACCAUCUUCCUCCUGGAUGCUUUCCUUUUCCUUUUUUUCUUCAAAAGAAUUGGGAGGGAGGAACUUGGAACCCACACAUCUGGGUUCCAAUUAUUCAUCUGGAAUAAAUUUCUUUAGAAUAUACUCUCUGGGAAAUCUGAAGCCUUCAGGGCUGAGCAGCGUGCCCAUAGCGUAAUAGACAGGCCAGGCUGGGUCAGCCAUGGCCACGCCAUGAACCUCUAAGCAAAUCUGCACUUGCUUGUUGUACUCAAUCUUGCCCUGAUACCCAGGAGGUCUAAACUUAGGAACAAAUCAGAUAAGGGAGGAGUUUUUCACACUUUGGACUUCAAGUGCAAAGUGCUUUGGAAUAGUUACAUUUAGGUGUAUGCUGUUACUAAGGGUAGGAUAUUAUUUAGAAGCUGACUUGUGUGCUGAACAAGCAUUUCUUUAAGAACUAAAGCUGCAAGAGGAGAUCUGUUCAAGUAUCGCUGUGUGGCAGGGACACCUGGGUGGCUCUCCACUAAGCGUCCAACUUCGGCUCAGGUCAUGAUCUCAUGGUUUGUGAGCUCGAUCACAGCAUCAGGCUCUGCACUGGCAGUGUGGAGUCUGCUUGGGAUUCUCUUUCCCUUUCUCUCUUUGCCCCUCCCCAUCUUGUGCGCUCGCGUUUCUCUCUCUCUCUCUCUCUCUGUCUCUGUCUCUGUCUCUGUCUCUCUCUCAAAAUAAAUAAACUUGAAAAAAAGCCACUGUGUGGCUAAAUAGUGAGCAAUAAGAUAAGCUUAGAGACCCUAAGGCUGUGCUGUUCUCUCACUGUAUUGAGUUCACUGUUGUUAAGGAAAGUGAUUGCUUAUCAACCUCUUCCUUCAAAUUAGCUGGCUUGUUUCCUGGGCAUGACUUAGUGGAACUAUCAUCUACUUUUGCUUCUCAUCCCUCAUUUCUCUCCUCCCUCCCAUAUGUAUGACUCGUCUCCCCACCAGCAUACAAGGAUUGGACCAAGUGAAGUUCUGUUGUUGCUUCCUAAUUCAUAGAAGGGUAUGUCCAGUAAGGCCUGAGGGUCUAAUAUUAGCAUCUGAACCAGGCACCUCCAUGAGCAGAACUUCUUUUAAAGCUGCUGAGAUUUGUAUAACAGAGAUAUCAAUAGGGCGACAACUAUUGAUGAUUUUAUCCACUUGGUGAACAUAAUUAAGUUCCAGGCCACAAUGUAGAAAUUGUUGUGCUAUAUAGUUUUUGUACUUAAGAAGCAGUAUAGCAUAUGGUUAAAAACAUGGCCUCUGGAACUAGAUUUCCUCUGUAUGCCUCAGUUUCCUCAUUUGUAACAUGGAGAUAAUAAUAGUUCUACCUCACAAGGUGAAGAUUAGAUGAUUUAAUGUAAUUAAAUGAAUUUAAAACACUAACAUGUGCAAGACACUCAGUAAGUACUGAGUAUGUUCGCUCUCACCAUCAUCAUCGUCACAGAUGUUGUUUACAAGCACUUGUCUUUGAGAUUUGAAUGAGGAGCUGCAUAGUAGAACAAUGCAUAGGCUUUGCACCCACAAUCAAAAUCUAAUUUUGCCUCUUAAUAGUUUUGAAACUUGGGAGUAAAUCUCUUAACAUAGCUGAGUGUAAAUUGGGACAAAAAGAUUUUUGCUUAGUGUUGAAACACACACACUUUUAACACAGUUGUUGUUGUUGUUGUUGUUGUUAUAUAGUUAUACUUUGGUCCCUGUGUAGCUGUAGGGUAAUGGUUAGGCUAACUCUGAAAUCUCUCUGCCCUGGCCUCUUGCAGGCAUACACUCUGAAAUUUUUUAAAGAUGGAAAAGAAAGCAGAGAACACAAGUUUUUAAAUAUUUAGAGUCCUCCAAAAAGUCUCUGUAGAUAUCUGUAAAAUCUCAAAGCAACUUAAAGGUAACAAGACAGCAUACUUAAUAUUUAAUUAAAAUAUAACAAUGUUAAUAAUAACUCUUUGUGUUUCCAUAUUAUCUCUUUCUGAAGAAUACAAAGUGUCUUAGAAACACUAUUCCCCUAUUCCCUCUACAUUUCAAGGUGACUAUUGUCUCCUGUCAAAAAAACACAAAGGAAAUGGAUAGACUUAGCAAAAAGCAAAUGAAGACACUUCAAAUAACAGAAGAGUGGGAAGACUGUAGACCUUAAGUCAUAAGAAAAUUUCCUCUUCUUGUCCUGUUUCUCCCUAAAUGCAUGACAAAUACAGCCUCUUACUUCUAGAGAAGGUCUUAAGCUUCCCUCUCCCUAACCCCUCACCCAGGUUGGGAUAUCCUUUUUUUAAAUUUUUUGUUUUUUAGCAUUUAUUCAUUUUUGAAAGAGAGAGAGCAUGAGCAGGGGAGGGGCAAAGAGAGAGCAGGAGACACAGGAUACGAAGCAGGCUCCAGACUCUGAGCUGUCAGCACAGAGCCCGACGCAGGGCUUGAACCCACAAGACCAAGAGAUCAUGACCUGAGCUGAAGUUGGAUGCCCAACCGACUGAGCCACCCAGGAGCCCCUCCUUUUCUUUUUUAAAUUGGGUCGUGUUCAAACGUCCUAUGCUUGAUACAAGAUGAAGGUAGAUGAAGAGAUAAUGAAGGAAACAUUAAAUGGGCUUUCCAAGAACAUAUUUCUUUUUAAACAAUUCCUAAAGAGAUAGUCAAAAGCAGUGUAAUGUACUGUCCUAAUCUAUUCCACACAGCUAGUGUGAGGUAUAUAGAAGCGUAUUGCUGACAUUGCAACAUCCAGCAGUAGAGGGCAGCACUGCCCUUCUUUUGCAAAAGGCUGAGUGCUCAUAAGAAGGAAAAUAAAAGACACUCUUGACUACAGUGUCUGUGUGUUUACUUUUACCUAAUACUUUAGAGGAAAAAAAAAUUAGAGUCUUUUUCUUAUUGUUUAGGUGAUUAGGUAGAAAGAACGUCAGAGCCUGUAUUGCCUUGAAGUAACUGGUGAAAAACAUAGAGUAUGCUCAGGAUAUGGGUUCUGCCUAGGAAAGAUAAACAGUAGCUUGACCCUGUGCAAUCAGAUAGGGUUAUUGUAUGAACAGACCUAAUUCUCCUGCACUUUCUGGAUAGAAAUCAAUCUACUGAACUAGCAGGAUGUGGUUUUAAAAAUGUGUGUAACUCAUAUGGGCUUAGCCCUGAUAACUGCUUUUGAAUCCUAAUUCACUGACUUUAUUCUGCUGUCUGAGUUAGCUUUCCUCUCUGUCACACUUGGAUCAGAUCAGACCUACCUCAGUUAUACCACUUGUAUUAUGACCUUAAAGAAUGAUGUCAGACAUGAUGGUAAGGAAUGUCUUUCAUGAGACUGUAGCUGUCUAAGGGACUAUGUAUAUCUGGCAGGGAAACUGAAAGCUUGUAUGCUGGUCCUCAUUCUAUUGGACUAUGAUUUGAGUUUCUCUAUCCUGUAAGUAGCAAGAAAAAAAAACUUAUUUUGUACUAAAAGUUACUUCACGCUCCUUGGCAGGAUGACAGAGGAGAGAAUAAUCUUUAAUUUCAGCAAAUAUAUAACCAUAGUGUCCAUAGCACAUUUGGAUUCUGCUCUAACCCUCAAAACGUUUUUGGCAGCAAAUCUUCAGUGCCAAUUUAAAUAAAUUCUGCCAGGAGUAAGAGCUGGAAGACGGGGUCUAGUUCCCAGCUCCCUGUGUGAACUUGGAAAAAUUAUAACCUCUGAGCCUUUGUUUCCUCAUCUCUUAAACAGAGAUAAUGUCUUCUAGAUCUAGCAGUAAAAGGGUCAAUUUAGAAAGUACAUAUUAAAGCCUUUGAAAGGCAUUUAAGUACCUAACGAAUAUUUCUAUAACUGUAGCCCAAAGAGAUUCCUGCCUUUUCUAAACAUAAGACUGUGUGUCUUUUCUCCUCAUGUGGUAUCAUUAUAUUACCUGAGAUGGUUCAUCUUCAUGGGUACUUAACUUUCUCCUCCAACUCAAUUGCUUGUUAGUUCCUUGAGAACUGAAACUAUCAACUAUACUUCCUGGUAUCCUCUAUAAGAAUAUAUUUAGUACAUAAUAGGUACUCAAAUAAGUGUUGGUUGAUGAAAAACAAAAACUAAAAGGCAGAAUUGACUUUUUAUUUAAUUGUGGUAAAAAGAAAAAACAUAACAUUUACUCUCUCAACCAUUUUUAAAUGUAUGUAUAGUACAAUGGUGUUAACUGUUUGCACAUUGUUGAGCAACAGAUUUCUCGAACUUUUUCAUCCAGAAUUCUUCAAAACUAUCUUCCACAUCUCAUGGUGUCCAAAGUGCUUCUUUAUUGAUUGACUGGACAAAAACAGGAAACUGAUAUAGGACUAUGGCCCUGUGGCUAGGGAUGUGUGGAACAAGGAAAGCAAAAGAUGUCCACUCUUUUGAAUCUUUCCUGCCCUCAUAGAGAUUCUGUCCUAGUGGCUCUCUAGCCCACAGAUGAGUCAUUUUCUAUAAACUUGGGAACAUAUGCCAGAAAGGACAGUGCCUCUAUAAAGUGCAUUCACGAGUCAUUUGCAUCUAACAUAUAAUUAAACAUUUAUAUGAAGGAAACUAUUACAUUAAAAUAUAAACGCUUGCCAAUUGAUUUUCAGGAUCUUGACUUCUAUUAAUUACUGAAAAUAAAGUACUAUUUUAAAUCAUUAAUGGUAUCACAGUAGCAUUUUUAUUUAGCUAGUAUGGGUGAGGACUGGCAUAUUGAGGGAAACUGUCCUCCCCAAAGACCCUGCUUUGGCUAUAGAUAUGUAUGCUUCUAGGACUCUUUCAGGGUAGCAUGUGCUUUUAGAAACUGCAUCUUUUCAAGCACAGAGCUUCAUCAUAAGUAACUGUUAAUUAUCUUGUCACAUUCAUUUAAGAUAAAAAAAAAUUUGGCUUUUUCUUUUGCACCAAGUGAAAACAAAAAUAAACUCUAGAUGGAUUUAAGAUUUAAAUAUUUUAGGGAUGCCUGGGUGGAUCAGUCAGCUAAGCAUCCAACUUUGGCUCAGGUCAUGAUCUCACGGUUCAUGGGUUCUGCAUCAUGCUCUGUGCUGACAGCUCAGAGCCUGGAGCCUGUUUCAGAUUCAGAGCUCACACUCUGUCUCUGUCUCUGUCUCUGUCUCUGUCUCUGUCUCUGUCUC